AUGUUGUUCACAAGUCUUAACAUGCUUAUACUCGGAGGGUAUAUCUGGAACUACAGCGCCAUCCCUCAGACAUGGGAAGACCCAGGACACAGUGACAAGCACACUGGCUGCUGUGGUGACAACGACCCAAUUGAAGUUUGUGAAAUUGGAAGCAAGGUGUGUGCCAGAGGUGAGAUAAUCAGGGUGAAGGUCCUGGGCAUACUGGCCAUGAUCGACGAGGGCAAGACCAACUGGAAGGUCAUUGCCAUUAAUGUGGACGACCCAGACGCAACCAAUUAUAACGAUAUUUCUGAUGUUGAACGGCUGAAGCCUGGCUACUUAGAAGCUACUGUUGAUCGGUUUAGAAGGUAUAAGAUUCCUGAUGGGAAACCAGAAAAUGGGUUUGCAUUCAAUGCAGAAUUUAAAGACAAGGAGUUUGCAGUUGACAUUAUUAAAAACACCCACGAUUAUUGGAAAGCAUUAGUGACUAAGAAAACAGAUGGGAAGUUAAUCAGUUGCAUGAACACCACAGUGUCGGAGAGCCCCUUCAAGUGUGAUCCUGAUGCUGCCAAAGCCAUUGUGGAUGCUUUGCCACCACCAUGUGAAUCUGCCUGCUCACUACCAACAGAUGUGGAUAAAUAGUUCCAUCACCAGAGAAACUGAUGAGAUCCCUCUGGAAUAGGAGCUAUA